rnacentral:rRNA from 1 species
GACCUGAGCUCAGGCAAGAACACCCGCUGAACUUAAGCAUAUCAAUAAGCGGAGGAAAAGAAACUAACCAGGAUUCCCCUAGUAACGGCGAGUGAACCGGGAAUAGCCCAACUUGAAAAUCUCUUCGGAGAAUUGUAGUCUAUAGAAGCGCCCUCUGUGGCGGCAGGAGCUCAAGUCUGGUGGAAACCAGCGUCAGAGAGGGUGAGAACCCCGUCGGCUCUAUGCUUAGCUGCUUCACGAGGUGCUUUCCACGAGUCGGGUUGUUUGGGAAUGCAGCCCUAAAUUGGAGGUAAAUCCCUUCUAAGGCUAAAUACUGGCGAGAGACCGAUAGCGGAACAAGUACCGUGAGGGG